UUUUUUAGUGUAAGUGUGUCCCAUGCACUGUUUGGGACAUACUUAUACUAAAAAAUAUUAUUCAUUGUUUAUCUGAAAUUAACUCAACAU
rnacentral:miRNA from 1 species